CAAAAUUCAGAGACUUAAUGAACAAGCCAGUGGGGAGAUUGUGAAAGCAGAACAGAAGUAUAACAAAUUCUGCCAACCAUUUUUUGGAAGAGGUCAAAAUUGAUUGCCCAAAUUUCAAAUUUUUGGGUAACAGCAUUUGUCAGCCAUCCACAAGUGUCUACAUUACUUGGGGAGGAAGACAAAGAGGCACUGUAUUAUUUGACGAGUUGAAGUGACAGAAUUUGGAGGUAUUAAAUCAGGUUACAGAAAGAUUUUUAUUUUGAUGAAAAUCUUUAGUUUGAAAAUAAAGUUCUCUCCAAGGAAUUUCAUCUGAAUGAGAGUGGUGAUCUAUUUUUAGAGUCCACUGAAGUCAAAUGCAAAUCUGGAAAGGAUAUAAUGAAAACGUUCCAGUCAAACGCAGAGUAAAGUCAGCAGGAAGAGGCAGCACGAAGAACCAGAGAGCUUCUUUACCUGGUUUACUGACCGUUCUGAUGCAGGUGUUGUUGAGUUGGGAGAGUUCAUCAAAGAUAAUACUUGGACAAAUCCAUUACAGUACUACUUGGUUUUCAAUAUGGAUGAUGAAGAAAGGGAAGGAGAUAAAUGAUGAAGAAGGAUGGGAAGAUAUUGAUAAAGAAAGGGGAUAAGGAUGAAGAUGAAGAAGAUGAAGAUGAUGAUGAAAGGGAGGAAAGAAAGGGGGUGAAGGAGAAAAUG
rnacentral:lncRNA from 1 species